rnacentral:rRNA from 1 species
UCUAGAGGCUUCGGCAAUGGGGGCAACCCUGACCGAGCGACGCCGCGUGUGGGAUUGAAGGCCUUCGGGUCGUAAACCACUGUCAUUGGGGAAGAAUGCCUGGAUGGCGAAUCCAGGAGGGACGGUACCCAAGAAGGAAGCCCCGGCUAACUCCGUGCCAGCAGCCGCGGUAAUACGGAGGGGGCAAGCGUUGUUCGGAUUUACUGGGCGUAAAGGGUGUGUAGGCGGCCGCGCAAGUCUGGUGUGAAAUCUUCACCGCUUAACGGGAAGAGGUCACUGGAAACUGCGUGGCUCGAGUAUGGUAGAGGCAAGCGGAAUUCCUGGUGUAGCGGUGGAAUGUGUAGAUAUCAGGAAGAACACCGGUGGCGAAGGCGGCUUGCUGGGCCAUCACUGACGCUGAGACACGAAAGCGUGGGGAGCAAACG